AUACGGAGGGUGCAAGCGUUAUCCGGAUUUAUUGGGUUUAAAGGGUCCGUAGGCUGAUUUGUAAGUCAGUGGUGAAAUCUCACAGCUUAACUGUGAAACUGCCAUUGAUACUGCAAGUCUUGAGUGUUGUUGAAGUAGCUGGAAUAAGUAGUGUAGCGGUGAAAUGCAUAGAUAUUACUUAGAACACCAAUUGCGAAGGCAGGUUACUAAGCAACAACUGACGCUGAUGGACGAAAGCGUGGGGAGCGAACAGGAUUAGAUACCCUGGUAGUCCACGCCGUAAACGAUGCUAACUCGUUUUUGGGUUUUCGGAUUCAGAGACUAAGCGAAAGUGAUAAGUUAGCCACCUGGGGAGUACGAACGCAAGUUUGAA
rnacentral:rRNA from 1 species